CCGGUAGUUCAGUUGGUUAGAACGCUAGCCUGUCACGCUAGAGGUCGUGGGUUCGAGCCCCAUUCG
rnacentral:tRNA from 2 species